rnacentral:lncRNA from 1 species
AAAUACUUUCUUCAAAGUAGCAUUGAAUGUAUAUUUUUAGGGCGACAUUUUGUUGAUGCUCAAAAAAUGCCGUAAAUCGUUUUAUUUGUUUUAAUUUUUUUCUAAUUGUCUUGAUGGUCAUAGAAUGUGUUUGUUGUCGGAAUCGUAUUUGAAAAUAGUAAUUUAGAAAUUGGAAGAAUGACGGAGGAAUCAAGUGGCGAUGAAUACCGGAAUGUAAAACAGAUGUGGAAGGUAUCAGUGAAAUCUACUGCAGUACACUGAUAGUGCCGCAAGGAGUAUGUGACCGGAUAAUCCACGGCCUAGAUAAACUAAUUGCUUGAAGGAAUUAUGCGGACCUUCACAUAGUUCAUCCUAGUAGUUCUGAAGAUCACAGAAAAAUCCACGGAAACGUCGACUUAAAAUUAAUUAUUAAAAUUAAUUAGUUAAAUAAUUAAUUCAUUAAAAAUAGAGACAAAGCUGUUUUUACCCUAAGAUAGUUAUUAUAUCGUAUGAAGAACAAUUAACCCAACUUUGUAAUCAACUAAUUGCUCCAGACGUUAUAUAACUUUGAGAACACAGAAGUUGCUAGAAGCCUUUCCAGGACUCAAACUCCAUUAUCCAUUCCAGCACGUAACAGGCAAUAUAAUUGUCACAUUUUCUUAAUAUGUGACUGACAUCGCCUUUUCAUCCAUGCUUUCAUUAAUAUUUGACCCAUACACAGACGGAUUUUUUUUCGUUUAAAAUUGCGUGGGACCAGAGUACCCCACUGAAAAAUGCAGACAAGUGCUGAUGGAUGCUCGGAGUUUUUCAAUAAUAGUGGCGGGAAGCAGAUCCUACGCUGAUAAUGCAUCAAACGAAAUGAAGUGCAACGCCGCGGUUAUCAGAAAAAACACUUCCUAGAUUUUCGAAUUGACCAAUACCUCCAAUUCUUUCCUCAUAAAUGUAUGUCGCAUGCAAAUUGUUCCACGACCACGAUAUGCU